rnacentral:snoRNA from 1 species
CACCUCCUGAUGCUUAUCAUAGGCUGUGUUCUUACACUGACUGUAAAGAUACAUAGGAGGAAAAGUAAACCUACCCCAUAUACACAUAAACCCAGGCCGUGUACCUGGUCUGUAUUGUAAAUGGAAAGACAUGG